UACGUAGGGUGCAAGCGUUGUCCGGAAUUAUUGGGCGUAAAGAGCUUGUAGGCGGUUUGUCGCGUCUGCUGUGAAAUUUCGGGGCUCAACCCCGAACUUGCAGUGGGUACGGGCAGACUAGAGUGUGGUAGGGGAGACUGGAAUUCCUGGUGUAGCGGUGAAAUGCGCAGAUAUCAGGAGGAACACCGAUGGCGAAGGCAGGUCUCUGGGCCGCAACUGACGCUGAGGAGCGAAAGCAUGGGGAGCGAACAGG
rnacentral:rRNA from 1 species